rnacentral:rRNA from 1 species
GAUGAACGCUGGCGGCGUGCCUAAUACAUGCAAGUCGAGCGAACAGACGAGGAGCUUGCUCCUCUGACGUUAGCGGCGGACGGGUGAGUAACACGUGGAUAACCUACCUAUAAGACUGGGAUAACUUCGGGAAGCCGGAGCUAAUACCGGAUAAUAUAUUGAACCGCAUGGUUCAAUAGUGAAAGACGGUUUUGCUGUCACUUAUAGAUGGAUCCGCGCCGCAUUAGCUAGUUGGUAAGGUAACGGCUUACCAAGGCAACGAUGCGUAGCCGACCUGAGAGGGGGAUCGGCCAAACUGGAACUGAGAAACGGUCCAGACUCCUAAGGGAGGCAGCAGUAGGGAAUCUUCCGCAAAGGGCGAAAGCUUGACGGAGCAACGCCGCGUGAGUGAUGAAGGUCUUCGGAUCGUAAAACUCUGUUAUUAGGGAAGAACAAAUGUGUAAGUAACUAUGCACGUCUUGACGGUACCUAAUCAGAAAGCCACGGCUAACUACGUG